rnacentral:rRNA from 1 species
CAAUGGCGUAUAUUUAAGUUGCUGCAGUUAAAAAGCUCGUAGUUGGAUUUCGGGUGGGAAUGGCCGGUCCGCCGUUUCGGUGUGCACUUGCUACGCCCACCUUGCUGCCGGGGACGUGCUCUUGAGUUCACGCUCGGGACACGGAGUCGGCGAGGUUACUUUGAGUAAAUUAGAGUGUUCAAAGCAGGCCUACGCUCUGAAUACAUUAGCAUGGAAUAACACGAUAGGACUCUGGCCUAUCUUGUUGGUCUGUAGGACCGGAGUAAUGAUUAAGAGGGACAGUCGGGGGCAUUCGUAUUUCAUUGUCAGAGGUGAAAUUCUUGGAUUUAUGAAAGACGAACUACUGCGAAAGCAUUUGCCAAGGAUGUUUUCAUUAA